rnacentral:rRNA from 1 species
GUGGGGAAUAUUGGACAAUGGGCGAAAGCCUGAUCCAGCAAUGCCGCGUGAGUGAUGAAGGCCUUAGGGUUGUAAAGCUCUUUUACCAGGGAUGAUAAUGACAGUACCUGGAGAAUAAGCUCCGGCUAACUCCGUGCCAGCAGCCGCGGUAAUACGGAGGGAGCUAGCGUUGUUCGGAAUUACUGGGCGUAAAGCGCGCGUAGGCGGUACAUCAAGUCAGAGGUGAAAGCCCGGGGCUCAACCCCGGAACUGCCUUUGAAACUAGCGGACUAGAAUCUUGGAGAGGUCAGUGGAAUGCCGAGUGUAGAGGUGAAAUUCGUAGAUAUUCGGAAGAACACCAGUGGCGAAGGCGACUGACUGGACAAGUAUUGACGCUGAGGUGCGAAAGCGUGGGGAGCAAACAGGAUUAGAAACCCGGGUAGUCC